AGAGUUUGAUCCUGGCUCAGAACGAACGCUGGCGGCGUGCUUAACACAUGCAAGUCGCACGAGAAUUGGGAGCUUGCUCCCAUAGUAAAGUGGCGCACGGGUGAGUAAUACGUAGGUAACCUACCUUUGAGAGGGGGACAACAUUCCGAAAGGAGUGCUAAUACCCCAUAAGACCACGGCUUCCACGGAGGCCGGGGUAAAAGAUGACCUCUUCAUGAAAGUUGUCGCUCAAAGAUGGGCCUACGCACCAUUAGCUUGUUGGUGAGGUAAAAGCUCACCAAGGCUGAGAUGGUUAGCUGGUCUGAGAGGAUGAUCAGCCACACUGGAACUGAAACACGGUCCAGACUCCUACGGGAGGCAGCAGUGGGGAAUAUUGCGCAAUGGGGGAAACCCUGACGCAGCAACGCCGCGUGAGUGAUGAAGGCCUUCGGGUUGUAAAGCUCUGUCAAGAUGGGAAGAAACGCGGUUGGCUAAUAUCCAACCGCNUGA
rnacentral:rRNA from 1 species